rnacentral:rRNA from 1 species
UACGGGGGGGGCAAGCGUUGUUCGGAAUUACUGGGCGUAAAGGGCUCGUAGGUGGCCAACUAAGUCACACGUGAAAUCCCCAGGCUUAACCUGGGAACUGCGUGUGAUACUGGAUGGCUUGAAUUCGGGAGAGGGAUGCAGAAUUCCAGGUGUAGCGGUGAAAUGCGUAGAUAUCUGGAGGAAUACCGGUGGCGAAGGCGGCAUCCUGGACCGACAUUGACGCUGAACGGCGAAAGCUAGGGGAGCAAACGGG